UACGGGGGGAGCAAGCGUUGUUCGGAUUUACUGGGCGUAAAGGGCGCGUAGGCGGCCACCGCAAGUCGGUUGUGAAAUCUCUGGGCUUAACCCAGAAAGGUCAACCGAUACUGCGGGGCUAGAGUGCAGAAGGGGCAACUGGAAUUCUCGGUGUAGCGGUGAAAUGCGUAGAUAUCGAGAGGAACACCUGCGGCGAAGGCGGGUCUCUGGGCCGAUACUGACGCUGAGGAGCGAAAGCGUGGGGAGCAAACAGG
rnacentral:rRNA from 1 species